rnacentral:ncRNA from 1 species
CAAAAGCUUGGUCCUGACUUUACUAUCAACUCUAGCUAAACUUACACAUGCAAGUAUCCGCACCCCUGUGAGAAUGCCCUAUGGUUCCCCGCCCGGGAACAAGGAGCUGGUAUCAGGUACAACCAUGUUAGCCCACGACACCUUGCUUAGCCACACCCCCAAGGGAACUCAGCAGUGAUAAACAUUAAGCCAUGAGUGAAAACUUGACUUAGUCAAAGCUAAGAGGGCCGGUAAAACUCGUGCCAGCCACCGCGGUUAUACGAGGGGCCCAAGUUGAUAGACACCGGCGUAAAGGGUGGUUAGGAUAAAAUUGAAGACUAAAGCCGAACACCUUCAAGGCUGUUAUACGCACCCGAAAGUAAGAAGCUCAAUCACGAAAGUGGCUUUACCACAUUUGAACCUACGAAAGCUGGGGCACAAACUGGGAUUAGAUACCCCACUAUGCCUAGCUGUAAACAUUGAUAGUGUAGUACGACCACUAUCCGCCCGGGAACUACGAGCAUUAGCUUGAAACCCAAAGGACUUGGCGGUGCUUUAGAUCCACCUAGAGGAGCCUGUUCUAGAACCGAUAAUCCCCGUUCAACCUCACCCUUCCUUGUUCUUCCCGCCUAUAUACCGCCGUCGUCAGCUUACCCUGUGAAGGUCUAAUAGUAAGCAUAAUUGGCAAAGCCCAGAACGUCAGGUCGAGGUGUAGCGUAUGGAGGGGGAAGAAAUGGGCUACAUUCCCUGACACAGGGAAACACGGAUGACAUACUGAAAUGUAUGCCUGAAGGAGGAUUUAGUAGUAAGUGGGGAAUAGAGCGCCCCGCUGAAAUUGGCCGUGAAGCGCGCACACACCGCCCGUCACUCUCCCCAAGAUUACAAGUUUAUUAUAACUAAUACCCUAUUAAUAUAAAGGGGAGGCAAGUCGUAACAUGGUAAGUGUACCGGAAGGUGUACUUGGAGAAAU